rnacentral:rRNA from 1 species
GGUUAAGCGACUAAGCGUACACGGUGGAUGCCCUGGCAGUCAGAGGCGAUGAAGGGCGUGCUAAUCUGCGAUAAGCGCCGGUAAGGUGAUAUGAACCGUUAUAACCGGCGAUACCCGAAUGGGGAAACCCAGUGUGAUUCGUCACACUAUCAUUAACUGAAUCCAUAGGUUAAUGAGGCGAACCGGGGGAACUGAAACAUCUAAGUACCCCGAGGAAAAGAAAUCAACCGAGAUUCCCCCAGUAGCGGCGAGCGAACGGGGAGGAGCCCAGAGCCUGAAUCAGCAUGUGUGUUAGUGGAAGCGUCUGGAAAGGCGCGCGAUACAGGGUGACAGCCCCGUACACAAAAGCGCAUAUGCUGUGAGCUCGAUGAGUAGGGCGGGACACGUGGUAUCCUGUCUGAAUAUGGGGGGACCAUCCUCCAAGGCUAAAUACUCCUGACUGACCGAUAGUGAACCAGUACCGUGAGGGAAAGGCGAAAAGAACCCCGGCGAGGGGAGUGAAAAAGAACCUGAAACCGUGUACGUACAAGCAGUGGGAGCCCCACCACUAAGCCAGUGGUGAACUCCACAUACGCAUCCUUUGCUGAGGAGACGGUUAACGGAGCGAAAGCGACGUUCAACCUCAAAAGAAGCAGAGGGGGCUUAGUGGUGGGGUGACUGCGUACCUUUUGUAUAAUGGGUCAGCGACUUAUAUUCUGUAGCAAGGUUAACUGUAUAGGGGAGCCGGAGGGAAACCGAGUCUUAACCGGGCGUUAAGUUGCAGGGUAUAGACCCGAAACCCGGUGAUCUAGCCAUGGGCAGGUUGAAGGUUGGGUAACACUAACUGGAGGACCGAACCGACUAAUGUUGAAAAAUUAGCGGAUGACCUGUGGCUGGGGGUGAAAGGCCAAUCAAACCGGGAGAUAGCUGGUUCUCCCCGAAAGCUAUUUAGGUAGCGCCUCGUGAAUUCAUCUCCGGGGGUAGAGCACUGUUUCGGCUAGGGGGCCA